AUCAAUGUACGUACAUACAAGCUUUUUGGCUAUUCUUCUUUGUUUUCUCAUUCAGUUUUUUUGUAACAAUAUACCAAUUAUUAUUGCGACUAAAAGACCUGCAGCAUCGCGCGGGCCUUUCUACCUAGUUCUAAUGUUCUAUACUCUAAAGCUCCGACUCCUAAUGAACAGUACCAUUCCUUAUGAAUAGUGUGCUUUCAAUUUUGCCCCCUUAACGUCCUGAGUUUUGCGCAAUUGCCCCUCAGUUUUAUGCUGUCUGUAUCUCGCCAUCUUUUGGUUUCCACCACGUCCAUGGAGAUGGACACGAAGAGAGAGAGAGAGAGAGAGGGAGGGAGGGAGAGAGAGUUUGAUUCUUUUUAUUUUUUAUUUUUUGAGAAUAGAGAGAGUUUGAUUCACAGAGACGGAAAGAGAGAAAUAGAGAGAGAGAGGGCGAGGAGUUUUCAUGAUAUGUAUCUGCUAAUUAUAUGUAGAGAGAAAGUGAUGGUGGUAGCCACUCAUUGUUCUUCAAUUUGAGGCCUCCAGCAGCAAUUGCAACAGCUGCAAUCCAAGCCACCAUAUUAUUUACAGUUGGGGAGUAACAUCCUUCCAAUUCUGAAAGUCCUCCAUAUACAUACCGGAUCGAGAAGAUUUUGCCUUUUUUCCAUUUGGAGAAGAGCAUGAUGGGAGAGCCUGGAGAUGUAUAAUGGCUAUUUUUCAGCCGUUCACCUCCUUUCAUAUGAAACAGUCACACUAGCCUUUUGCUUAUUUUAUGUUUAAAUUACUCAUCCUCUACUUUUCAUUUUCUUCUUUUUUAGAUCAGUGCUCAAUGCUCCUUCCGAAAACAGAACAUGGGGUUGAAGGCCAGUUACUAUUUUAAUAGUUUAGUUAGCAGCAAAUCUAUAAUUUAGAGUUGUGAUUUGUUGGAAGGGUGGAGUAGCAUAGAGGCACAGAGUGUUGAAGUUACA